AUGGUCUCGAUCUCCUGACCUCGUGAUUCGUCUCGGCCUCCCAAAGUGCUGGGAUUACAGGCUUGAGCCACCGCACACGGCCGGGCUCACUGCAUUUUCUCAUAUCCAUUCUUCUUCAUGGUCUCCAACACAGUGAUCCUUGGGGAAACUGAGGAAACUCAAUAACAAUUUGUAAAAUAGAGGCAAGAAUAAUGGCUGUUUCCUCUGCAUAGAAGCAGAGCAGCAUGGCUUGGAGUUAAGCGUAUCUGAUUGGAACUCAGAGAGUCACAUCCCGAAUGGGAAAGUUACUGGCAUCUCUCCACACCCAAGACUUCCUGGUAAAGUGAGAUCAUCGUAUUUGACUUCCAGGGUCUCAGUCAGAGGACAGCUGCUAGCCCCACAGAGGACAGCUGCUGGCAUAGCGUUUGGUGUAUAAUAGGCACCUCAACAGACACUGUUCCCCACCCCAGUGAAUUACCUCUCUCCUUGCAUCUGCCUCCCUAAUGUUUUCACCCUUUAAGACCUAGCUGACCUAGCUGAAGUUGAAGAACUUUCCAGGUCCCCUCGACCAUGUUUUCACUCUUCAAGACCUAGCUGAAGUUUAAGAACUUUCUGGGCCCCCUCCACCAUUUCCCACUGGAACGGCCCUGGCAUGGAUGUGGAUGGCACUCAACAUUUCCUGUGUUCCCUGCUAAACCGUGAAGGCCUUGAAGGCCGGGAUGCCAUCUUUUAAUUGCUCAACAAAUAUCUGGAACAUCAAAGCUGAAUCCUGAUGGGAAUUGGACCUAGAACCCUGGGAGAAUGCUGGGAGAACAGAGAACAUGGUGUUUGCCAGGGCAUCCAAGAACACAGUCACAGAGAGGGGGCUGUGAAGAUGGCAACACAGCGGCAGUAAAAGUAACUUCCAAAGAAGACAGGAAAAUCUUUUUAUUGCAGAGGUGACAUUUGAACUGGUAACAAACCAACCAUAGGUGUUUGCCAGGUGGAGAAAAUGUAAGCUAAAACGGUAAAAAUCUAGGGAUCAGUACGUAUAACCACAGAUCAGUACAUGUAACACAGAGGGGUGUUUUUCAGCCACAAAAGAUGAUAUUGAGGAGAGAGGCCAUUUCUCUUACUGUCUCCUGUCUCCAAAGAAAAGGAAGAAGUAAAAACUGAAAAAUAACAGACUGAUCGGGCACCACUGGCCAGGCCUGUAGGUUAAAGAUUAAUCCCCAUCCUAAUCACUUGUGUUAUCUAUAGAUCACAGACGAUGGUAUAGAGAAAUACUUGCCUUGCUUACACCCACCUAGUCACAUAUCCCACACUUUCUCAAUCUGUCAUGACCCUGUCACAUGGACCCCUUAGAGUUAUAAGCCCUUAAAAGGGCCAGGAACUCUUUCUUUGGGGAGCUCGGUUCUUGAGAUGUAAGUCUGCCGAUGCUCCCGGCCGAAUAAAGCCACUUCCUUCUUAAA